GGCCACAGCCCGGCGGGACGCGGGCGAAGGGACUGGGAGACUCGGGCUGGCGCCGGCCGAGGCGUGAAGACGCCGCUCCGAGACGGGGAUGAGGAUGGCGGCGUCUGGCGUGCUUCUCUCCACCGCCUUCGCGUUGCUGCCGGGUUUUCCUCACCAGUUCUUGAGCAAGAAAAGCAGCGGCUGGCACCCGGGAACGGUACCGGUGACUCUCUAGACUCGUUUUGCUGUGUUCAGGUGUAACGGUGUUGCUGCCAGCCUGCCGAGCCGUCCCGGAGGACGGGAUUUUGCCUUAUUGCAAAGACAGCUCGAUAGCCACGGUCUGGAGUCUCUCCGGCUCUGGGUGGAGCUGGCAGCAUUCCGCUUUCCUACCUCCAGUAUAGGACCGUGUGGCUGCUGCAGCCUACUUCAAAACGAUGGUAGACUAGCAAGCAGCGGUGAUUUCCUGUGUUUUGGAAUUUUAACAUCAGCACCACUUGUAAUCUGUAGCCAGCUGUGGCUAAAGGUGAAAAUGAAAGUUCUCUAUACAUGAUAAACCAAAAAACUAGGAAUCGGCUAUUAGUAUUUUAAACAGUUGAGAUUUCAGGAGGUAGUUCUGUUGCACCAUCUGAUACACAAGUUUGCCUAAAGACAACCCUCUUGAUAUUAAGAGGGUUCUGGUUUCCGCCCUCCUUCAAAGCGUGGAAGUUCAUCUGGAGUAGGAAGUAAACCCUUCCGGCCUCCUGAGCAGCAAGAGAUGCAGGGGAUAGGAGUGAGAAGAGAUUGUAUUAAUGAAAAUACUGUAAUUCGCCCAAGAAAUAUCUCUGCUUCUUUAUUCUUGCAUUUC